CUGCGGAAGGAUCAUUAACGAGUUUUGAAACGGGUUGUAGCUGGCCCUCCGGGGCAUGUGCACACCCUGCUCAUCCACUCUACACCUGUGCACUCAUUGUAGGUUGGCGUGGGUUUUGGAGCCUCCGGGCUUUGAAGCAUUCUGCCGGCCUAUGUACACUACAAACUCUUAAAGUAUCAGAAUGUAAACGCGUAUAACGCAUCUUUAUACAACUUUCAGCAACGGAUCUCUUGGCUCUCGCAUCGAUGAAGAACGCAGCGAAAUGCGAUAAGUAAUGUGAAUUGCAGAAUUCAGUGAAUCAUCGAAUCUUUGAACGCACCUUGCGCUCCUUGGUAUUCCGAGGAGCAUGCCUGUUUGAGUGUCAUGGAAUUCUCAACCCAUAAAUCCUUGUGGUCUAUGGGCUUGGACUUGGAGGCUUGUUGGCUCUAGUCGGUCAGCUCCUCUUGAAUGCAUUAGCUUGAUUCCGUGCGGAUCGGCUCUCAGUGUGAUAAUUGUCUACGCUGUGACCGUGAAGCGUUUGGCAAGCUUCUAACCGUCCUUGUAGGACAACCAUCUGACAUCUGACCUCAAAUCAGGUAGGACUACCCGCUGAACUUAAGCAUAUCAAUAAGCGGAGGAAAAGAAACUAACAAGGAUUCCCCUAGUAACUGCGAGUGAAGCGGGAAAAGCUCAAAUUUAAAAUCUGGCGGUCUUUGGCCGUCCGAGUUGUAGUCUG
rnacentral:rRNA from 1 species